CGGGGAGCUUGACCCGUCCGGGCGGUCGCACUGAAAUGUUCGUGUAGCGCCCGGACUUUGAAGCGGGGGGCUCGGAGCGUGAGGGAUGUAGGGCGAAGGGUAUUGUCUGUAUCAACGUGCCCGUGUUGCUGCUGAGGGAAGUACUUUUUUAAUGAGGGGAAUGGACCGUAUGGUGGACCAGUACCGAUUGAAGGCCACAUUUCCCUAUCUGGAUAACAUCACCAUCUGUGGUCGCGACUGGCCGGAUCACAACGCCAACCUCCAACGAUUUCUCCAAGUGGCCGAAGCUCGGAGCCUUACUUAUAACAGGGACAAGUGUGUGUUCGGAACCACCUGACUCACCAUCCUUGGGUAUGUCGUGGAAAACAGGGUCAUUGGCCCUGAUCCCGACCGUAUGCGCCCCCUGUUAGAGCUCCCUCUUCCCACCACUCUCAAAGCCCUCAGACGGUGCCUGGGUUUUUUUUCCUAUUACGCCCAAUGGGUCCCCCAUUACACAGACAAGGCCCGCCCCCUGGUCAAGUCUACCACUUUUCCCCUCUCAGCUGAGGCCUGCGCGGCCUUCAGCUGCAUUAAAGGGGACAUGGCCAAAGCAACGAUGCAUGCGAUGGACGAGACCAUUCCCUUCCAAGUAGAGAGUGACGCCUCCAAUUGCGCACUGGCUGCUACCCUCAAUUAGACAGGCAGGCCAGUAGCAUUCUUUUCUCGUACCCUCCAAGGCUCUGAAAUUCGGCACUCCGCAGUGGAGAAAGAAGCCCAGGCCAUAGUGGAAGCUAUUAGGCACUGGAGGCACUAUCUCGCUGGCAAAAGGUUCACCUUGCUGACCAACCAGCACUUAGUUGCGUUCAUGUUCAGCAAACAACAGUGGGGCAAAAUCAAAAAUGAUAAGAUUUUGCGGUGGAGAAUAGAACUCUCCACCUACAACUUUGAUAUCCUGUACCGGCCUGGCAGACUCAAUGAGCCCCCUGAUGCCCUAUCCCGGGGAACAUGUGCUAGCACACAGCUGGACCAGCUAUACGCCCUUCAUGCACAACUUUGCCAUCCGGGGGUCACCCGAUUUUAUCAUUUUACCGUACUCCCUGGAGGACAUCAGGACGAUGACCAGGGACAGCCACAUCUGCGCUGAGUGCAAACCGCACUUCUACCGUACUGAAACGGCGCAACGUGUCAAGGCCACCCGCCCUUUUGAGUGACUGAGUGUUGACUUUAAGGGCCCCCUUCCCUCCACCGAUCGCAAUGUCUAUUUUCUCAAUAUUAUUGACGAGUACUCGCGGUUCCCCUUUGCCAUUCCCUGCCCCGACACCACUACCACGUCCGUCAUAAAAGCCCUGCGCCAGCUCUUCACUCUGUUCGGAUAUCCCUGCUAUAUCCACAGUGAUAGAGGGUCCUCCUUUAUGAGUGACGAGCUGCACCAGUACCUGCUGGGUAGGGGCAUUGCUACUAGUCGGACCACGAGUUAUAAUCCCCGGGGAAAUGGACAGGUGGAGAGGGAGAAUGCCACAGUGUGGAAGGCCACACUUUUAGCCCUUAAGUCAAAAGGGUUGCCGGUCUCUCGAUGGCAGGAGGUCUUCCCUGAGGCACUCCACUCUAUCCGCUCUCUGUUAUGUACGUCCACCAAUGCCACCCCUCAUGAACGCCUAUUCUCCUUUCCCAGGAAGUCUGUCACUGGGACCAUCCUACCAGUUUGGUUGACGUCCCCAGGGCCAGUGCUGCUCCGGAGACAUGUGAGGAGUACUAAAUACUCCCCGCUGGUCGAGAGGGUUCACCUUCUACAUGCGAACCCCCAGUAUGCCUACGUGGUCUUACCUGAUGGGCGGGAGGACACGGUCUCCGUCCGCGACCUGGCGCCCGCAGGUGCCGCAGACCACUACCCUGAACACUCUCCGGUAACUAUGAACCCUGUACCCGAGGUGACACCACGCACACCAGGCCCUACACAGACUCCUCACGACACUCAUAUACCGGGCGUUUCAUACGCAUAUAUACCAGGCGCCUCGCACAUGCGUGAGGGAUCACUGAUGCCUAGUGGGCUGACACCUCCAGUUAGGCUGGAACCAGCACAACCUCCGUCUCCUGUGCAAUCACCACCACCAGCAUCUGUGCAAUCACAGCCAGUGCUACGUAGAUCGCAGCGACAGAUUCGACCACCUGAUAGACUUAACCUGUCAGAAACUUCGCCACAUGGGGACUCUUUUUAAAACAAAGGGUGGGUGUUGAAUGUGGUGAACUACAUAUACCUGUCUGGACACGCCCCCUGCUGACUGCUCCUGUGGCUCCUCCCACAGAUCCCUGUAUAAAGGCGAUCAAGGCCUGAGCCCGGCCUCUCAGUCUCCAGGAUGUAGUAUGGUGGUCACUCACUGUU